GCUCUCGGGCAGGGGCUCCACAAGCAGCGGGGUGCUGCGGCAGCUCUCCCCAGUGUUGUAGGCGCUGGUGCUGUCCUUGUCCGACUUCUCGGGCAGCUCGGAGAUGUCGGACAGCUCGUGCUUCUUGGGCUCGCUGGCCGCCAGGUCGUAGAGGCUCUCCUCCUCCAGCAGCCAGGCCUUCAUGCAGCGCUCACGCAGCUGCUGCAUCUUCUGCGCCCGCAGUAUGUUGCGGCACUUGAAUUCCAGGUGCCUUAGCUCCUCCUCCAGCAUGGCCAUCUCGUGGCCCAGGCUCUCGUUGCGGUUGACGUCCAGGGCGCUGUUGCCUCCGGAGGCCCGGGGAAAGAGGAGGCCCAGCUGGUUGCCGUUCUCCAGGUGGCACUUGAUCUCCAGGAGCUCACGGUAGCGCUCAUACUCCUCAUCCGUGAGG
rnacentral:lncRNA from 1 species